CGAAGAGAAUGGAAAGCUACAGUCUCUUGGAGCCGUCCAGCCUUGGCAAGGCAGCCCGGGGCCUUAUAAGGAAAUGUUGUUCCCUCUCAGCCAGUGGGACUGGGAUAGCGCCCCAGGCCUGCAGGACAGAGCUGCCCUUGUGGCGGCGGCGGUAGGCUGGGGGUGCCACCCGUGAAGCUCUCAAUGGACCACUUCUGCAGGCUCAGCAUUCCCUCUCGGCCCUGGCACUCUAGUCCCCUCUCCCCAUACCCACCCACUCCUCAGUGCCCCGCGCUGAUUGGAGGAAAGGGGAAAAAACAAACCAAAACAAAGACUUGGCAAGGUCGCUGGCCUCAUUGCCUUUUGACGCUGAAUUACUCAGAAAACAGAUUGAAAUCGAAUUCUGUCUUUUCCCUGAAGGACGCAUGAGUAAAGGAAUCCCUCUGACCUCCGGCACCCCGUCUCUCUGUGAACACAAGAAUUAGCGCCCUGCUCAGUCUGGUGAAGAAGGGCCGGAGGCUGAGACUUAUGGACAGUGCCUUCCGCCUCGUGAAUUCGCCUUUCCCACCUCCCAUGGGAAAGCCGGAGCCUUUGGAAGCCGCAGGAGAAAGGUGACUCUCCUCAGGCUCCUCACCUGUGCCAGGCGGGCCAGAGGGCCUGCAAGACUCGGAAUUGUGUUGAGGAAAAACACAGACUGCCCACACUGAGAGCCGUCUUUCUUUGAGUAAGAACAGCAAGCAUUACUCAGGCUCCAGAAGGAGGCCUGUUCUGCAGCCAGGCGAGGGGAGCCCGAGAAGACCUCACUCAACUUGAUGUUGAACUUGCCAGUGGGGGUAGAAGCAGAAAAGAUCUUGACCGUGGCCUUUUGCUGUGACUGUUCGGACACACAGAGAGCCAGGCGAUCCUGGAGCUAAGAGACUUGAAACAGACGGCCAGAGCGGCUUCCUCCUAAGGCUCACAGUCUCUUCCCAGCCUGCCGGGUGCACUUCGGCCGGCAUGUACAACUGUGACUGGGUACUCAGUUCCUCAAGUCUGUUCACCUAGGAUCUCCAGGUCCCCGCAGGGUGUCAGUCAUUAUGGGGCACCUCCAGGGUACAAAGGGGAAUAAACACCAGGACCCGGAGAAAAUUGUUGGUUUAUAGUGCCCAGAGCAAAGCUAUGAGAAGCACAGGAGAGAUGUGAUGCCCAGGCUACCAGCCCUGGUGAAAGCACAGGAAAGUGUUCUCAGGGCUGUGUGGAGGGAAAGACCUCUCAACUACAGUCUUAGUCAGGGCUUCUAUUGAUGUACUAAAACACCAUUGACCAAAAUCAACUUGGGGAGGGAGGGUUUACUUUAUCUUAUGCUUCCAGUUCAUCACCGAAGGUAGUCAGGGCAGGAUCUCAAGGCAGAAAACUGGAGGCAGGAGCUGAUGCAAAGGCCUCGGAAGAACGCUGCUUACUGGCGCGCUCCUCAUAGCUUGCUCAACCUGCACUCUUAUAACAACUGAGACCACCAGCCCAGGGGUGCUACCGUCCACCGUCAGCUGGGUCCUCCCACAUCGGUCAUCAAUCAAGAAAGGGCACCACAGGCUGGACCAUGGGCUAAUCUGACGGAGGCAUUUUCUCAGUUGAGGCUCCCCCUUUCCAAAUGGCUUGUGUCGGGUUCACAUUAAACUAGCCGGCACCUGAGGUGUUCACAGGAAUCGACCAAACCUUACAGAUCAGGGAUAUUAUUUGACUACAGUUGCUCCAUUGAUGCUGGUCCUACCUUCCCCACGGAUGCUGUGGGAGUCUGCCUUGCUUUCCCAUCACAGUGGAGCCCUUCUCGCUGAUGCUGCUGGAGCCCUCUCCUGUUCACUGAGGAUGCUGGACCACUGUAUUGCUGACCAGUACUGGAGUUACAUUUUCUCCGAGAGGAUGAGGAUUGAUCACUUCUGGACUCUCUCCUCUGUGGAUGCUGGUUUCUGGGAAGGCUAUCUAAGGCCCAUUCGGUAAAUGAGUCUCUUUUCCAAACGGAAAAUGUUUCUUCCGUUUGUGAGCACCAUGGUCCCUCCAGUGUUCUGUCAUCGGACAUUCCCCCGUGUCAGCCGCCCAGGACACUGCUGUUUAGCCACCACUUGCUGGGUGUCCUACGGGUUUCACUUACAGAGAUAGCAACAAGUCAGCACAAACAGAACUAUAAAUAUCUCGAUAGUGGCAGAUGCAUGAAAUCCGACUGGGUGGGGCAAACAGAUGCAGAUGCCCUGCUAGAUAAGAGCACAGCUUUGAGCCUACUGAAAUACUAAGCAAAGUGCGUAAAGGAUAAAAUUAAAAAAGAACUUACCUGUUU